AGGUUUUCUCGAAUUAGAAAGAGCUAUAGCUUUAUGAAUUUAAUUGUGGCAUAAAUUUUUAUAAUAUGGUUAUGGUAGUGAAACGUUAGUCGUUUUUUAUGAUAUCUAGUUUCUUAAGAAAUAAAUUUAAUUUAUUUUUUUGAAGUCAUAGGGCUGAUUUUUCUAGCUUUGUGGGUUAAAGAUAAAAUGUUCCUAGGGAUUAGCUUGGGAUCAUAAUUUUAUAAUUUGUUGAUUUUAUUAAGAGUUUGUAGGAUUGGAAAUGUUUUUCUUUAGUUUGUUAUAAUUAACUUUUGAUUUAAUAAGAUUUAUAUUUGGGUUUAAGUUUUAUAUUAAGAUAAUGAAUUUAAUGUUUUAUUUUAUGUAAUAAUGAUAAAAUUAGUAUAUUUGGUUGUAUGUGUAAGUUAUUUGUUAAGGUUAAGUUAAGGAACUCGGCAAAAAUAUUUUUCGCCUGUUUAUUAAAAACAUGUCUUUUUGAUUAUAAUUUAAAGUCUAACCUGCCCAAUGAGGAGUUAAAUGGCCGCGGUAAUUUGACCGUGCAAAGGUAGCAUAAUCAUUAGUUUUUUAAUUGGAAGCUGGUAUGAACGGUUGNACGAGAAAAUAACUGUCUCAAUUUAAUUGAUAAUAGAAUUUUAUCUAUAAGUAAAAAAGCUUAUAUUAGUUUAAAAGACGAGAAGACCCUAUAGAAUUUUAUAGUUACAUAUUUAUUUAAUAGUUAGAGUUGAAAGUUAGUUAGAUAUGACACUAUUUCGUUGGGGCGAUGGAAAAAUUGAUUGAACUUUUUUUUUUGUUUUAUUUCAUUGAUUUAUGAGUUAUUGAUCCGUUUGUAACGAUUAUAAGAUAAAAUUACCUUAGGGAUAACAGCGUAAUUUUUUUUUAGAGUUCUUAUCGAAAAAAGAGUUUGCGACCUCGAUGUUGGAUUAAAAUUAACUUUUGGUGUAGGGGCUAAGGGGUUAGGUCUGUUCGACCUU
rnacentral:rRNA from 1 species